rnacentral:rRNA from 1 species
AUUGAACGCUGGCGGCAGGCCUAACACAUGCAAGUCGAACGAGGGGAGGACGGGUGUGUAAUGUCUGGGAAAUUGCCUGCCGGAGGGGGAGAACUAACGGAAACGGUAGCUAAUACAGACUACAAUCAGAUGUGCCCAGAUGGGAUGAGCUGGUUGGUGGGGUGACGGCUCACCAAGGCGACGAUCCCUAGCGGGUCUGAGAGGCUGAACGGCCGCCCUGGGACUGAGACACGGUCCAGACUCCUACGUGAGUCAGCAGUGGGGAAUAGUGCUCAAUGGACGCAAGCCUGAUCGAGCCACGCCGCGUGAAUGAAGAAGGCCUUCGGAUUGUAAAGUACUGUCAGCAGGGAAGCGUUACCCGCAGAGGAAGCGACGGCUAACUCCGUGCCAGCAGCCGCGGUAAUAC